AACGUAGGUUCCGAGCGUUAUCCGGAUUUACUGGGCGUAAAGCGCGUUCAGGCGGUUUGGCAAGUCGGGCAUGAAAUCUCUCGGCUCAACCGGGAGAGGUUGUCCGAUACUGCUGGACUUGAGGGCAGUAGAGGGUGGUGGAAUUCCGGGUGUAGUGGUGAAAUGCGUAGAUAUCCGGAGGAACACCGGUGGCGAAGGCGGUCUGCUGGGCAGUAGCUGACGCUGAGGCGCGACAGCGUGGGGAGCAAACAGG
rnacentral:rRNA from 1 species